CGGUGCUUUCGAGCGAAACCUCAGGCUGUUCUGUGUUUGGGCCUCUUCGAUUAUCAGGCCCUGUAGUCCCGGUUGUCCAGCUGCCGGUGCUACCGCAACGCAUCUGAAACCAUGGCCUCACAAAUGCGAUGAGCCUAGGAGAAAGUUUCACUGCCAAAAUGGCAUGCCACGCCCCUUCCAAAGCAGUCGGUCAAGUUGAGGUUGGCGCGCAGUGCAGUUUGCCUCUGGCUGACAAGUCUGUCGGGUGCUUCUUCAAAGCAAGGACUGAGUCUAGGAGCGUGCAGACUACGGAGGCUGUGGAACAGUUAAGCACCAGCUCAGCAUUGAGGCCUUCUAUUUCUCCAACUGCCAAAUGUAACAACUCAAAGCAAGGAUGCCUCCACCGAUGUCACCUCUGUAACUAUGAAGCUGAUAAACUCUUUCUUCUGGAAGCACAUGCCAGUGUCCAUACUGGCGAGAAGCCAUUUCAGUGCCCCUCAUGCCCUCGGAGCUUCUCAAAAAGAGACACCCUAAACGUUCACCUCCGCACCCACACGGGCGAGAAGCCAUUUCAGUGCCCUUCAUGCCUUCAGAGCUUCUCACAAAAGGGCAACCUAAAAGCCCACCUGCGCACCCACACAGGCGAGAAGCCAUAUCAGUGCCCUUCAUGCUCUCAGAGCUUCUCACAAAAGGGCAACCUUAUGAAGCACCUGUGCACCCACACAGCCGAGAAAAGCCAUUUCAGUGCCCUUCAUGCUCUCGGAGCUUUUCGCAAAAGGGUAACCUUACGAGACACCUGUGCACCCACACAGGUGAGAAGACAUUUCAGUGCCCUUUAUGCCUUCAGGGCUUCUCGGUGAAGAGUGCCAUGAAGAUACACCAGCGCAUUCAUGCAGGUGACCGGCCAUACAGUUGCACCGUCUGCUCCAAGUCCUU
rnacentral:misc_RNA from 1 species